CUCUGCCCUGCUGGCCAGCCAGCAGCCGAAACUCAGCGUGUCUUCUCAUUCCAACUCUCUCAUGAAGGGAUUAUAACUUCGAGUUUGUACAGCCUUUGGCUGACAGGAACAGGGGGAAGGCGACGCACAGAUGGAAGAUUGGAGUGAUAAGUCUGAAACCAAGGAAGAUGGCCGGCAAUCUGCCAGAAGUCAGAGAAAGGCACGGAAGGAUCCCUCCCUACAGUUUCAGAAGUUUUCUGGCUUCCAUCUUCUAGAACUGCAACAAAGAAAGUACUCCCUGUGGCAUCACAAGUCUCAUCGAUACUCAAUAAAUAUCCACAUCCAGAAGAAAAAAAAAUCCACGGGGCUGCUGAGAAAAGCAGGGCUCUUUCAACAGGCAGAAACAUGA
rnacentral:lncRNA from 1 species